rnacentral:rRNA from 1 species
AAUCAACGCUGGCGGCGUGCCUCAGACAUGCAAGUCGAACGAUUAAAGCUCUCGUCGGAGAGUGCAUAGAGUGGCGCACGGGUGAGUAACACGUAACUAAUCUACCUUCGAGUGGGGAAUAACGUCCGGAAACGGACGCUAAUACCGCAUAAUGCAGCGGCAUCGCAAGAUGACAGUUGUUAAAGAUUUAUCGCUUGAAGAGGAGCUUGCGGCAGAUUAGCUAGUUGGUAAGGUAAUGGCUUACCAAGGCUACGAUCUGUAACCGGUCUUAGAGGACGGUCGGUCACACUGACACUGAAUAACGGGUCAGACUCCUACGGGAGGCAGCAGUCGGGAAUUUUGGGCAAUGGGCGAAAGCCUGACCCAGCAACGCCGCGUGAAGGAUGAAGUAUUUCGGUAUGUAAACUUCGAAAGAAUGGGAAGAAUCAAUGACGAUACCAUUUAUAAGGUCCGGCUAACUACGUGCCAGCCGCCGCGGUAAUAC